GAUGAACGCUGGCGGCGUGCUUAACACAUGCAAGUCGAACGGAAAGGCCCAAGCUUGCUUGGGUACUCGAGUGGCGAACGGGUGAGUAACACGUGGGUGAUCUGCCCUGCACUUCGGGAUAAGCCUGGGAAACUGGGUCUAAUACCGGAUAGGACGAUGGUUUGGAUGCCAUUGUGGAAAGUUUUUUCGGUGUGGGAUGAGCUCGCGGCCUAUCAGCUUGUUGGUGGGGUAAUGGCCUACCAAGGCGUCGACGGGUAGCCGGCCUGAGAGGGUGUACGGCCACAUUGGGACUGAGAUAAGGCCCAGACUCCUACGGGAGGGAGCAGUGGGGAAUAUUGGACAAUGGGCGCAAGCCUGAUGCAGCGACGCCGCGUGGGGGAUGACGGCCUUCGGGUUGUAAACUCCUUUCGCUAGGGACGAAGCGUUUUUGUGACGGUACCUGGAGAAGAAGCACCGGCUAACUACGUG
rnacentral:rRNA from 1 species